GUACGCGCUUGCGCACGUUCCGGUACGUAAAAACCAUUUUACAGGCUGGCAACUUUGUGAAUGUCAUAUUUCUCGAAAGAAUAUCCCGACCUGGUAUCUCAAAUAGUUCAUUGAGAUAUUUUACUUCACUAAGAUGUCUUAUCAUAUUAAUGAUUGAAAUAUCUAGUUGUUUGAAUUGCUCAUCUAUAUUCUAGAACUAAUAAUAUCUUGGUCUAUACAUGAUCCUUUGUACUGCCUCAUAAAUUUGUGGUAUUUAAGAACAUAAACUGCAUAUUAUGUAGUGUUAAUUCGUCAGAUGACAGAGUUAAGAUUCCUCUAACAUACCUAAUUACGCCUAUACGUACAUUCUGCUAUUUAGGUAUCCACUAAUGGAGUACGAAGGAUUGGAAGUUUAUUACCCCAAAAAUGAGUAAUUGCUUUUAAGCUUCAGAAUUUUUUUUUUUAAGUUAUAACAUAGGUUAUGAUUUGAAGAAAUCUCUAAUAAUAAAUAUUGGCUGUGCUACUAUAUUUACCAAUACAUCACUUGUUUCAAUUAAAUAUUACAAUACAACCAAAAACAAAAGAUCUAUUGGGUUUAUUAUCGUCCUUAUUAAAAGAUACAAUGUUAUAGUCUAAUGAACUUAUAGAAUACUAUUAUAACCUGAUUCUAGCAAAAAAAAAAAAACGAUCUGAGAAAUUGAAUGUAUUUUUGAAUUCUGAUAAUGCGGUGUUUUAUUUAUUAAAAAUUAUUUUUUUUGUACUGCAUAACAGUUGGAUAGACAGCAUAUCUUGAAAGAUAUACUGUCUAUAUAAAAUAAAAAGAAUCUGCUACUAACCAUUUUUUUGAUAAUAACUUCAUUUGAAAAAAAAAUGUUGUGACAUCAAGGUCAUGAUCUUUAUGGUCAUCUGGCUAUGUCACUAUUCCAGAAUUUUAAAUACAGCACCAGUUCAGAACACUUAUAAUUACUAGCGCGUAAAGAAGUAUAUUAAACUAAGGUAAACAUUUUCACGACUACUAGUAAAUAAAUAAAUUUAUCCACAUAAUUAUAAUGGUGCCUAAGUAUUAAACAAUUAAUUUGACAAUAGAAAUUACAAAAUAUUUGAACCAUUUGUGUCAUGAACCUACUAACUCGUGUUUUGCCACCCAUUAAAAUUUACAGCAGUAACACCCAGAUUUUAUAAUGAGGAAGGGAAUUAUAUAAUGUCCCGGUACUCAACCACCCUUUAAAACUGCUAUAACAUCUGUUAUAAAUAUUGUAGAUGAUCGGCACAACUACUUUAGUAUUAAACUAAGAAAUUAAUUUUUUGUGUCUAACAGAGACUUACUUAGAAAUUUGGCGACCAAUGCUAAUCAAAGAAUAUUGAUAAGCAAGUAAAACAAAGUUAUAAAAAAAAUGUUUAUGCAUGGCUAAAAAAAAAAAAAAAAAAUCAAA